rnacentral:rRNA from 1 species
AUUGAACGCUGGCGGCGUGCUUAACACAUGCAAGUCGAUCGGUAACAGGUGUAGCAAUACAUGCUGACGAGAGGCGGACGGGUGAGUAAUGCUUGGGAAUCUGCCUAUUAGUGGGGGACAACCCGGGGAAACUCGGGCUAAUACCGCAUACGCUCUACGGAGGAAAGCCGGGGACCGCAAGGCCUGGCGCUAAUAGAUGAGCCCAAGUCGGAUUAGCUAGUUGUAGGUAACGGCCUACCAAGGCGACAAUCCGUAGCUGGUCUGAGAGGACGACCAGCCACACCGGAACUGAGACACGGUCCGGACUCCUACGGGAGGCAGCAGUGGGGAAUAUUGGACAAUGGGGGCAACCCUGAUCCAGCGACGCCGCGU